GAAACCAUCUAUAUGUAUCAAUAAAAAAUAAAGAAUGGAGAUUUCUUCUUCGUUGUCUUCUUUGGAUGACAAAGUUACUAAGAAAGUUCGUAUGCGUUGUAAGGAUGCGCGGGAGGACGACCAUCUUAUGGUAGUGGAUGAUGAUGGCAACCGCAAUGGAUUCGAGAAACCUGUUACUUCAAGUGUGUCUUUUAAAGAUAUGUUGCUUGGGAUCUCAAGGGGAAUGGGGAAUAGUAUGCAUGAACAGGAUAAGGAAUUAAGGAUGAUCUACAGCUUCUUAAUGAUGAUGUGACUAAGGGAACAGAGGAUGGUCUACCCUUUAUUCGUUUCUCUAACAGAGUUCACCAGAUACUAUAUCAGAGUAUGUCUCGUACGGUCGUGGUCAAACUAUUGGGAAGGAAAAUAGGGUUCCAAACUCUCUCGAAUAAGAUCUAUCAUCUGCGGAAACCCUUCAAAAUCAUGGAUCUGGGAGAAUGAUUAUUUCAUGGUAAAAUUCCAGGAGGAAUCAGACUAUAUUCAGGCUCUCACAGAAGGACCUUGGAUCAUUUUUGAACAGUAUUUAAAGGUUCAACCCUGGUCGGAAUCUUUCUCAACUAGCCAACCAUACCCAUCUAAUGUAGUUGCUUGGAUACGUCUUCCGGUCUCCCCGACUUUUUGUACCGGAAGAGUAUUUUAAUGAGUAUUGGGAAGACAAUUGGGCAUGUCAUUAAACUUGACGAUGACACGGGUAAUGCACAUACGGGCCGAUUUGUUCCUAUGGCGAUUUUUCUUGAUCUUAAUAAGCCAUUGGUCUCUAAAAUCAAGGUGGAUGGCCGUAUUCAACAAGUUGAGUAUGAGUCUCUUCCCAACAUUUGUUUUUCGUAUGGGCGUUUUGGUCAUUUAAGAGAUUCUUGCUCGUUUUCACCCAGACAUGAUCAAGCGACGAAGCAAGGAAGUUAUGAUGACCCGAUUCUGGUUGAGAAUAGGGAAGAAUCGGAUAUGUUUGGGCCUUGGAUGGUGGUCAAUUGCUAGAACAACAGAAUGGGUCGAAAACCAGCAUUUGGCCGGGAAGAAAGGACAGUAACAGAUCAUACGGGAGCGCGCUUUAACAUCCUGCAUGAUUUUAGGGAUGGGAUCCAAAUUAAUAUUGGGGAUUCUAAUCCCGCUGAUUCAGCUAGUUUGAAAGGAAAAAGGGUUGCCUUUUGUAACAACCCCUUAAGCAACCUAUAAGGAGAGAGAUGUGCAGGCAAUCGGCGUCCGUGAUUCUGCGUUGUCUGCUAAAGAUGAUAUUAUGGGUUGUGGCCUAGAGAAGGAUAAAAUAGAUGGGGCUUUAGGUCUAGCUGACCCAAACGCCAAUGCCUCUUUCAAGAAGGACAUUAUUUCUUCCAAGGUAGUAGCUAUGCCUUCUAUUGGGCUCCGCAUUCAAGGGCUUAGUGGACCGUUCAAGAUGAGUAAUAGGGGGUUGUCUUUGAGUAAUUCUUGUAUUAGCCCCACUGUGUAUCGUUUUGAAGCUCCAAAUCAGCAAGCGAAAGGCACCUCUGUUACUCCUUUGGAAAAAUUAGAUGUAACGAUUUUAAAUCCGGAAUUCCACUCGGCUAUAAAAAAUCAUUAAAAAUCAAAACCCCAAUAUUCCUUUAGGUGGUAUGUCUUCAGGGGCUUCGUCAUCUUCGCUGAAAUUUAAAGACCACAAACGACUAAGAAGAGGUUCUCGUAAUUUUAGAGGAUCAACUCCGAUGGUCUGAUUGCGGAUACUAAUAAUUCUCAAGGGGAGCACCUGGGCUCUAGCGAAAUGACUACUGUCGAUGCUUGAGGUGGGUCUGUCGUUUUCAUAUGUUCUUUUUAUCGUAUGUUUGAUGUUACCAGUAUUUUUGUUUGGAACUGUCAAUGGUGUGCAUCUCCAAAGUUUUUUAGGGUAGUUAGAGAUUACUUUGCUGAGUUUGAUGUUGAUGUUACGACUUUCCUUGAAACUCGAGUCAAUGGUAUGAAGGCAGAUGGAACCAUAGCUAAAAUCGGGUUGGAUUGCUCUCACAGAA